AGUGAACGCUGGCGGUAGGCCUAACACAUGCAAGUCGAACGGCAGCACAGUAAGAGCUUGCUCUUACGGGUGGCGAGUGGCGGACGGGUGAGGAAUACAUCGGAAUCUACUUUUUCGUGGGGGAUAACGUAGGGAAACUUACGCGAAUACCGCAUACGACCUACGGGUGAAAGCAGGGGAUCUUCGGACCUUGCGCGAGUGAAUGAGCCGAUGUCGGAUUAGCUAGUUGGCGGGGUCAAGGCCCACCAAGGCGACGAUCCGUAGCUGGUCUGAGAGGAUGAUCAGCCACACUGGAACUGAGACACGGUCCAGACUCCUACGGGAGGCAGCAGUGGGGAAUAUUGGACAAUGGGCGCAAGCCUGAUCCAGCCAUACCGCGUGGGUGAAGAAGGCCUUCGGGUUGUAAAGCCCUGUUGUUGGGAAAGAAAAGCAGCAGGUUAAUACCCCGCUGUUCCGACGGUACCCAAAGAAUAAGCACCGGCUAACUUCGUG
rnacentral:rRNA from 1 species